UACGUAGGGUGCGAGCGUUAAUCGGAAUUACUGGGCGUAAAGCGUGCGCAGGCGGUUUUGUAAGCCAGAUGUGAAAUCCCCGGGCUUAACCUGGGAAUUGCAUUUGAGACUGCGUAGCUAGGGUGCGGAAGAGGGAAGCGGAAUUUCCGGUGUAGCGGUGAAAUGCGUAGAUAUCGGAAGGAACACCAGUGGCGAAAGCGGCUUCCUGGUCCAGCACCGACGUUCAGGCACGAAAGCGUGGGGAGCAAACAGG
rnacentral:rRNA from 1 species